rnacentral:rRNA from 1 species
GAUGAACGCUGGCGGCGUGCCUAAUACAUGCAAGUCGAGCGAACAGACGAGGAGCUUGCUCCUCUGACGUUAGCGGCGGACGGGUGAGUAACACGUGGAUAACCUACCUAUAAGACUGGGAUAACUUCGGGAAACCGGAGCUAAUACCGGAUAAUAUAUUGAACCGCAUGGUUCAAUAGUGAAAGACGGUUUUGCUGUCACUUAUAGAUGGAUCCGCGCUGCAUUAGCUAGUUGGUAAGGUAACGGCUUACCAAGGCGACGAUGCGUAGCCGACCUGAGAGGGUGAUCGGCCACACUGGAACUGAGACACGGUCCAGACUCCUACGGGAGGCAGCAGUAGGGAAUCUUCCGCAAAGGGCGAAAGCCUGACGGAGCAACGCCGCGUGAGUGAUGAAGGUCUUCGGAUCGUAAAACUCUGUUAUUAGGGAAGAACAAAUGUGUAAGUAACUAUGCACGUCUUGACGGUACCUAAUCAGAAAGCCACGGCUAACUACGUG